UACGUAGGGUGCGAGCGUUGUCCGGAAUUAUUGGGCGUAAAGGGCUCGUAGGCGGUUUGUCGCGUCGGGAGUGAAAACCUCGGGCUUAACUCGGGGCUUGCUUUCGAUACGGGCAGACUGGAGGUAUGCAGGGGAGAACGGAAUUCCUGGUGUAGAGGUGAAAUGCGCAGAUAUCAGGAGGAACACCGGUGGCGAAGGCGGUUCUCUGGGCAUGACCUGACGCUGAGGAGCGAAAGUGUGGGGAGCGAACAGG
rnacentral:rRNA from 1 species